UACGUAGGUGGCAAACGUUAUCCGGAUUUACUGGGCGUAAAGAGGGCGCGGGCGGCACCUUAGGUCGGGUGUGAAAUCUCCUGACUCAAUCAGGAGGGGUCAUCCGAUACUGGGGAGCUUGAGGGCAGCAGAGGGAGAUGGAAUUCUCGGUGUAGUGGUGAUAUGCGUAGAUAUCGAGAGGAACACCAGUGGCGAAGGCGGUCUCCUAGGCUGUUUCUGACACUGAGGCCCGAAAGCGUGGGGAG
rnacentral:rRNA from 1 species